UUGGCCUUGACAUACUAAGAACUUUCCAGAGAUGGAUUGGUGCCUUCGGGAACUUAGAUACAGGUGCUGCAUGGCUGUCGUCAGCUCGUGUCGUGAGAUGUUGGUUAAGUCCGCAACGAGCGCAACCCUUUUCCUUAUUUGCCAGCGGGUAAUGCCGGGAACUUUAAGGAUACUGCCAGUGACAAACUGGAGGAAGGCGGGGACGACGUCAAGUCAUCAUGGCCCUUACGGCCAGGGCUACACACGUGCUACAAUGGUCGGUACAAAGGGUUGCUACCUCGCGAGAGGAUGCUAAUCUCAAAAAGCCGAUCGUAGUCCGGAUCGCAGUCUGCAACUCGACUGCGUGAAGUCGGAAUCGCUAGUAAUCGCGGAUCAGAAUGCCGCGGUGAAUACGUUCCCGGGCCUUGUACACACCGCCCGUCACACCAUGGGAGUUUGUUGCACCAGAAGUAGGUAGUCUAACCGCAAGGAGGACGCUUACCACGGUGUGGCCGAUGACUGGGGUGAAGUCGUAACAAGGUAAGCGUAGAUGA
rnacentral:rRNA from 1 species